GAUGAACGCUGGCGGCGUGCCUAAUACAUGCAAGUCGAGCGAACAGACGAGGAGCUUGCUCCUCUGACGUUAGCGGCGGACGGGUGAGUAACACGUGGAUAACCUACCUAUAAGACUGGGAUAACUUCGGGAAACCGGAGCUAAUACCGGAUAAUAUAUUGAACCGCAUGGUUCAAUAGUUAAAGACGGUUUUGCUGUCACUUAUAGAUGGAUCCGCGCCGCAUUAGCUAGUUGGUAAGGUAACGGCUUACCAAGGCAACGAUGCGUAGCCGACCUGAGAGGGGGAUCGGCCACACUGGAACUGAGACACGGUCCAGACUCCUACGGGAGGCAGCAGUAGGGAAUCUUCCGAAAUGGGCGAAAGCCUGACGGAGCAACGCCGCGUGAGUGAUGAAGGGCUUCGGAUCGUAAAACUCUGUUAUUAGGGAAGAACAAAUGUGUAAGUAACUAUGCACGUCUUGACGGUACCUAAUCAGAAAGCCACGGCUAACUACGUG
rnacentral:rRNA from 1 species